CGUCACUCGAAAACUUCGAGAAGGCGAGCGUAUUCAGCUGGAAAUGGCAACAGCUGUUGAGAGUCCCAAGAAAACAUUGGAGAACUGAACUAGAAGAGUUUCCAACAAAGAACUUUUGAAGAGGCUUCCAUCGUGAAAGCACAAGAAAAUAUGAAGAACGAAAACAUUUGACACGAACAAGGACAAAAGAAAUAGAAGACGGGAGCUGUAGCAGCAGCGAUGGCUCUGAUGACGGUGGGCAACCAACUGAUCAGCUGACAUUAUUUUACGUAACGGGCCUCAAAUGAAGAACAACUAUUGCCAUACUGCCACGGCGGACCCGAAUUACGCUGCUGCUGCGACGCAAACGGUACUGGACUGGAAAUGCUCGUUGCCAUCUCAACAACGUUAAUCUGAGACGUUAAUGCUGAACAUUGCUGAUAAUCACCAGCACCAAUAGUGGUGACGGCGGCUAGCUCGUCGCAACUCCGUCGAUCGUUAGUCGAUCCAUCGGUGGUAACGGUAAGAAGAAGAAUCAAAGAAGGUCCUAUAGCUUCGAUAGACAAAAUAGGCCGACAGAUUAACAGACACCUCGGAAUGACGACUGAGCAUUGAUUAGACGGGAAAAUAGACAGGUGACAAGUCUCACCCCCAGACCCCUACAAGUAGCCAUCACUACGGUCACAAAGAACCAAUUACGAACAGAAUCCAACAUAAGUAAAAAUUGUUGUUGAUGUUGUUGUUAUUGUUGCUGCUGCUGCGAAUAGUCAACUAUCACAAUUGCCAUCAAUAGCUUUGCAUCCCUCGCGACUAAAAUAGUACGUGUCCUUGCCACGCAUACUGACGUAUUGAGUAAGUUAAAAUAUUAUUUGUGGAAGGGGGGGGGGGGGGGGGGAGGGUCGCUGUUUGCCCAGCGUGUAGUAGAUAUAAUGCCUCUUCCCAUGAGGUGCGCACAUAGAUGAGCCGCGAUGCUGAUGAUUUUCGAAUGUCAAUUUAGAAAUCCAUCUGUCAAUAGAGUGAACAAUAAUGCCGUGAUCGCUAUAGCCUAGCAAACGAAUCUGCUGAAAAGAACAAUGGAUUUACAAUUUUUACAGACCACCAAAGAAUCAAUUUUUACUUUUAUUCAAAUAAGACUGCGUUACUGCAAAUUAAUGGGUGUCCAUUGAAAGACGGGUUUAGUGCUGAAAUUUCGAUUAGGAGUGGAUUAUUCGUGGCUCUAAUGAAUUUAUCGUUUACGUAGAAGGCCUCACAGCUGGGGUAUUGAGCUAGAAAUUAUACACUAGGCCCACUUGUAAUUCUAACAUAUAUGCAUAAAAUGAGUACCACUUAUGCAUGAUAAAAAUCUCCAGUACAUAUUCAUCAAUGGACGUUACACCUGAAAUGCAUCGAGUCUUAUCUGUUUAUAUGUACAUGUAAUAAAUCGUACGUUACUAAACGCGAUCCCUUAUAAUCAUAUUCAUCGUCUAGCCGUUAUAGUCGGUACAACAGUUUUGAUGCUCUAACACAGUUUUCCCGUCGCCCAAGUGGCAUUCGUUUCCAGAAGCCCUUACUUAAUCAAGCGUAAUUGCCGUCAAGCUGCAUGAUUCAAUCUGCUUUACUUCAAGUCCACUUCACUACUCAAUCAAGGCUUGGCAAAGCGCGUUCUUCCAUGAGCAAUAUGUGAUUUCCCGCAAUUCGAGCCAGUUGAAUACUGAACGGUGUUGCCCAGGGCUGAGACACAGCAUCGGGAUAAGAUCCUCGACCAGGUGCGUUCACGACAGAGUGCGGCGUUCCUUCUCAUGGAAAUCGCAUGCUAUAUAUGAGUAAACUUCCUAAACGAACAGUCCCCCGGAUGAGUAUACCCAUUAAACUACCACAGAGCUAGUAAGCAUAUCUAAAGCUGAUGUAAUCUAUGUUUAUGCUGAACCCAUAUUUAAAUUGAUUGUGCUCCCACUAGGCUCAUUUCGUUCGAGAUAGCUUGUCUUUUUUAAAAAAAUGUCUAAUAUUAUACAUAAGCAUUUAUAUCUACAUAGCGUUAGCUUGAUUGAUACCAAUUACAAUUUUGGUUCAUUGAGUGACAGCUUAAACAAAUACUUGGCGAAUUCUCUUUGAACAUUGGCAUUCGCGAUAGAUUAACAGAUCUUCUUAAGAAAGCUAUAGUGUAUUGCCGAUCCAACUUUCUCUUAAGAAUUGCUUUUUCCAAGAGUAGUCUUCAAGAUAUCUUUCUGCUUUAUUUCAAUUCGACCUAUAGGUAUUAUCCACAGCUUGAAACUAGUGUCUUCCCAAGCAGACCGUCGAUAAUAACAACGCGACAUCAUUUUCUAGAUCACAAUAAACCUUUAUUGAGAAGAAGAAGAAGCAUUAGAUAAUAAUAACGAUAAAAAUUAAAACUGACACCGCUAGAAUAAAAUAUCAGCAGUAAUUAUACUUAAAAUGAAUUUCCAUGAAACGCAGACCUACGUAGUUGCAUACAUUUGGACCAGGUUUCAACGAAAAAUUUGAAAUCUAUUUAAUUGCUGUCUUGACACCACGAAACGCAAAACUUACAAGGAAACUUUUUAUUUAAAUGCGAUGAAAGCAGUACGACGAGAAACUUAAAUUUCCCACGUAAUUCCGAUUUGAUUAAAUGUACUUAUUAGAACAUAAAUUCUAACAAAGUUCAAGUACAAAUAUCAACUAAAGUUGUAAAUAACCACUUACAUUUUACACAGAAUGGACGUAAUACAAAUAGUAAUGCAAACACUUUUCUCUAACGCGUACGUCAAUGAAUCUUAUAUGCUUAUAUAAUCUUACUGUGCGCUAGCACCCGGUGCCCAUUAAGGACCAACAGAAUCACCGCUCUGUGAUGUCAUGGCCACAGGAGCGGCAAAGGCAGGAGUUAAGACAAUUGACCUAUUCAGCCGCCAGCAACCAUGCACGUUUCCAACUAGCGCUACAUCAACAAAAUAAUAACGCCAACGAAAAGCAGUAUCAUUGAUGAUCACAGCGGGGGGUGAUGGCUCUUUUUCAGUAACCUGAAAUACUACUAAUUCAAUUCUCUGCCAGCCAUCAAUGGUGAAUCACUUAUAAACAACAAAUACAUUUAUAGAAACAUAUUAUGUCGGCCGAUGAAACAGCUUUGACCGAGUUGGGUGAAUCCAAACAACAGAUAAAAUUCAAGGUUUAUGUUCAAUUGACAGUCGUAGUAUUCCGAUCGUGUGUUAUCAUCCACCCAAAUAAAAAGUCUUUAGCUACAAUAAUUUCACCGAGAUGCCGGACACACGAAACGGUGGAAAUCGAACAGGAUCUAGAUCUCAUUAUCAGCAUAUGCAAAAUAAACACAGAUUUGUGUAUAUUUUCGUUGGAUCCUUUUUGUUAUUACUCGACUGUUUCCGCUUUCACUUGCCAAGCAUAACAGUCUGGACGCAUCUUGCUGUUACCAGUUGCUGACUAGCUCAGCCUCUGUGUCAUUCACAGAUAUUGAUCGUGAGUUCGACCAUGACAACAAGCACUAGCUACUAAGAUGACACGCAAAAUACAUUAUACAGGCGGCACAUACGGUGGAUACCAUAGACAGAGGAAAGAAAAAAGAAAGUGUUAUAACGUAACUUUACUGUCAUUAUUUAUGACAAAAUCAUUAAAGAAACACAUAAUAGUUUUAUUGUAUCAUCUGAUUUCGUUGUCGGCGAUGCGAUCAGAUGCAAGCUUCUAAACACUGGCAUCUAAUUGCAUCAUGUCAUGACAUAACAUGAAUUGCGGAAUGAGUGUAUCUCUCUGGAUACGAUACGUUGCCGGGACUGCUUUUUCGAUGACGCCUUGGUUCAUGUGCUUCUUAUUCACCCCCUAGAGCCUUGCCACUUCGUCACUGGCUUCUAUAGAGACUUGACCAGAUCAAAGCUUUCUUCAAAGUGUUCUUUGCCAUUCGUUAUUUGUGCACCCCUAUUUGCACGUCUACAGUUUGCUACGUCACUAACCGUCAAAAAAGAAAUUCGAGCUAUUGCAAAUGCGGGAAGAAUCACCCGCAUCAAUAUGAAAUAUUGGUGCAUUCGUCAAACAAUUAUAAUAGCAGUAUAUAGGGAAUCGAAAGUCAAAGUGAGGUUCUCAGUAUUUGCAUUCGUAUAGGACGUCACUGAAUAGUAUCAAAGACCUGUCACGCGCAGAACAUGCGAAAUAAUUUGUGUGGAUAAAGCAAAGCAUUAUUUACAAUGGCUAAUGAUUGUUAGCGUACCCUAUAUAUCGAGAUCCAACACUGCUAUCGAUGUUACGCUACGUAUCGUAGCGUCACGCACAUAACAUAAUUCGAUAGUUAACUUACGUGGUCUGUGAAUUAAUUCUAGUUAGAACAAUUUCCUACCGUGUGGCAUAUCGCGCUACAGGGAUAAUGGUAAGUCUUCUAUUCACUCCAAUCGCUUAGUAACGAAUAAAGCUAAGGAACCUAAAAAAGAAUAUUCCAUUUUCCAACUUAGACUAGCGCCAUAGACUAGCGCAGAAUGUUUAGUACAAUCGAAGAAGACGUAGUGCAAAAAAUCGACCAUAGCUUGCAAACAAAGAUGU